AGGACCCACGUCCCACACAUACGAGGGACAUAUUAUGGAGAUACACAGUGCACGCACACGUAUGUUAAUUAACAAAUUAUUCGUUCGUCGUCACCCGGACAGAGGGAGGUCUGUUUAGUUACACAGUGCGACGCGAUGUUUGUUCUUCGGCACACGGGAUAAAACCAACUCAUUAAACCCGAAGUUAUACUCUAACAAACAUCAUAGAACGACUCUUCUAAUUACUAUCAACUUUGAUGUCGGACGUAGUUAGCGGGUGUGUGACGUGCCGUUACUCCGGUCCGGUGUUGUGCCAAAAGGUGAUCAGCUGCCGGAAAGUGAUUUCAGCCGCGCACAGCCUCUUAAAGCUAGGCUAUAUCGCCUCGAAACGUGUAUGCGGCAGCAAAGUAUGAUCAGUCACACUAGUCAAUAGCACUACAGGACUAUUGUCCGCUGUAUUAACACAGAUAUGUAUUUUAAGGUGAGAAGACAUCGACGUUGUACCGACGUCUGAUCAGUGACAGUCGUACUAGUCAAUAGCACUACAGGACUAUUGUCCGUGAGUCAAUUAUCCUUCUUUAGCCUAUAUCCUUCAAGUUCAUUCUUCGCCAGAGUGAAUUCAAUUCUCUAGCACCACACAAGUGGCUGCUGGCCGAGACAAUUGAGUGCUACCUCAGAGCCAUACUGAAUGUGAAAGAAAAGGAAAAGAAUAUAUAUCCUCAACCAUUAUUCUGCCGGAGUCAUCUUUUUUGGAGCAUGGUCUGCCAUGGCCAAUCACUCAUUAUGCAAGCCGGUGUGUUUUCACUGCGGAGCAGCGACUCCGUGCUCCGUUUAGUCCCUGGUCUUCUCUAGCGGUGGUAGAUGACUGCUGCUGUGUGGGUCUCUCUCUCCCUCCCUCUCCCUGUGCAGGUUUGACCUUGAAAACAGGGAACGCUCCUCAGCUGGCCGAAGUCUACAGGUGGCGAUUCAUGUGACUCCUCCAUCAGCUGAUUGGGGCCACUGCUGUUUUGUCUCUGCUGCUAAUGACAGUUUCUCUGCUGCUAAUCAGUUUCUCUGCUGCUACAUACGACAUUGUCCCCUGCCUUAUCUCUGGCAGCCACUUAUCCCUGGCUACUCUGUGCUGCUUGGUGCUGGUGCUGUUGCUGUCUUUUUGCUACAGCCGGCUUGCAUGGUGGACUGCAGACACCACACUUUUAACCUGUUUAUCCCUUUCAUUUUAGCCGAAUGAUUGUGAGGAGUUAAUCCCUUGGUUUUGUAUUGCUUGUUUUGUAUUCUGUAUUCUUUUGAUUGGGUGGAUUGUUUUGUUUAUUUUGAACUAUUUCCUGCUUUGUUGUAUAUUGUUUUGUACAUUUUGGGAUAAUUAUUUCCGUUGUAACUUCCUUUUUAUUUCCUUCUCAGUGGCUGCAGGCUGGUGGUGGUGCUUGUGACGUGGGUGGUGGUGUCCCUCCUUCUCGUGUGCUGUGCUUCCUUAGAUUUGGUGAUACCACAGUGUGACUGCCACGUGUCUGGGUGAACCCUCUUCCUUUAAUUUAGUUUUGUUGAGUCCCCUUCCCCCUCACCUGCUCUUUCCCCACCAGUAGGCCUCAGCCCCUGAUUAGGUUAUUUCUUUGUUUAUUUGGGGUUAAUGUUAAUUUUUAUGAUAACAUAUACUUUAUUAAAUAAAGUGUUUUUGUAAACUGGGAGCCACGUGUCUUGCCUGUCGAGUGGAACAAACCUGUGUCUUUGAUCAAUGUAAAAUAAUAUAUAAUAAUUCCUUCGGUGCAAUUCCCAAGGUGGCGUUGUCGAGCAACCUAAGAUUCACAUUGAGAGCCUCCACGCCGCCAGAAAACAUUAUUCAACAUUUAGAAGAUGUAAAGCUCUCUAAAAUGUGUUUGUUAAUAAUUGCUGUAACAGCUUAACUUUGACAACUACGAUGGAGUCAUAGGAUUCAUGAAUGUUGCAAACAACCACUGGAUAUUCCUGUAUCUCUACAAGUUGAACCAAAACGUGUUUGUCAUGGAUCCCUUGGGUCAUGAGGACAAAGAGUCAGGCGUUGCUGCCGAACGGUUUCGCCAGUUCUUCAGGAGGCGGCAGAACCGCUAACAGAAGACUGAUUGGGUGGAUGUAAAGUGGCAGCAAGCCACAAUCAAGCACAGCAUUCAAAAGGAUGGUUGUAGCUGUGGUGUUUUCGUCAUGAAGAUGGCUACAGACAUGGUGGAGGCUUUUACCGUUGUCCCCCAGGGAAUAGAAAUACCCACAUCACUAAAAGACUUAAAAGACCGGAGGAUCACCAUGGCAAAAACCAUACUGCAGUGCUCUGGUUGAAUGCACUAAAUGCAAGAGGUGGUACCAUCCGACCUGCAUGGCCAUGUCCGAUGAAGAAUGGGGAAAAAGAGGAAGUAGCAUUGCAUUGGAACUGUGGCCUUAGCUGAUUUACCGUACAAGGUGUCUACGUUACAUAUCUAACUUUGAAUGUGCCUGGUAUGUGUGUAAUGUAUAAAGUGAACAUAGAAUAGAUGGAAUUCCUUCCGAUUCCUGGCUGUAAAAUUAAUUUUAGUUUAAUCACUUUGCUUUAGCAACUCGCAAUUAAUGCUAAACUACCUGAAAGGUUGUAUGUUUCAUGCCAAAAUAAAUAUUUGCAUGCUUGAUCUAAAUUAAGAGCAGCAAAUUCGGAAGAAAAAUAAGGCAAAAUAAAAAAUGAGAAAUGCAUGUAAAUGAUGCUCACUGUUAUAAUUAUGUCUAAGAAUCUUGAAAAAGUGUUUUAAAGGGAAGCAAGAAGCUGUGAAAUCUUCAAUGUGAGUUUAUGAACACAUCGGUUUGGUGUUGAUACCUUUAAAAACAAGGGAGGUAUUACAAAAUAUUUUUUUUUUGUGCUAAUCCACAAUGUUUUUCAAUUUUGAAAGCGUGUCUCGUGUUCAAGGUUCAAUGUUUUUUAUUAAAUGUCCCAAGAGGGCAAAUUAGUUCACAGCAAAGUAGGUAGUGGCGAAAAACACACGACAGAAUAAGACAUCAAUGUGUUGUCUUUUUAGUGGACUCUGCAUUAAUAUGUGGUUCAUCCGACUCCCUUGAUAUUGCUCGAUUAACAAAUAUAUUUCUUUUUAACAGGGAACUAUGUAGCCAAUCAAAUGUCUUCCUCGUUUUCAGCAAAUCACAUGAGCGCUGUACUUGUCUCUGUAUUUAAUAUUUUCUAAAGUUGAGAUUUUUCCCUGUAAUUAUACCAAAAGUUUUGAUUCCUACAAAAACUGAUUAGUGUGAUGAAAUAAAAAGCUGUACAUAUUAUACCAUUUUAACUACAAGAUUCGGCUUGAGAUCAUUUUCUGGCAGGUGAUACUCAUGAUUAUCAAUACAUUUUAAAGCAUAUAAAAAAUGUCGAUCAUUUUCUGCCAGGAAAACUCCAAUGCGUCAUAUUUUUGCUUUAAAACGUAUGUCGGCUGAUAAAUUGGACAGGAUUUGUUCUUAUCUAACCCAUAUGGCCCACAUUAAUGUUAUAGUGUCAGUUUGUAGCAGAAAUGUCAUUUUAACUACAAGAUUCGGCUUCAGAUCAUUUUCUGGCAGGAGGCAAACGACUGAAAUGUCUUAUAUUUGCCCAUGUAAAGGUGUUUCAGCUGGUAAUAGACAAUGGAUGGAAUAUAAUCUAUUUAAUGUGAUACUCAUGAAUGUUAUCAACUCAUUUUAAGGCAAAUAAAACAUUUCAUGUCAUAUUUUCGUUUUAAAACAUAUUACAGCUGAUAAAGGAAACUGGAUUUGUUCCUAUCUACCCCACAUUGCCCACAUGAAUGUUAUAGUGUCAGUUUGAACCCUAAUCUAUUGAAUGUGAUAGGAUUUACUCAUGAAUGUUAUCAAUUCAUUUUGAGAAGAAAAAAACUUCUUGAAAAAUCUAUAAACUGGGAAAAUAAUGCAUAGUAAGAAAAUACGUGUUUGUCUGUAUGGUGUGAGGUCAUUUAAGAUCAAACAGAGCUGAAAUAGCCUCAUACUGUUACCAGGGGGCGCCGGACCUGCGUUGAGUUUUACUAAUUAACUCCCCUGCCGCAGCUCGCCUGCCAUGUGGUUUUCUUAAUCAGUUAAUUGGUUGCAUCUGGUGCGUUUCACUUAAGAGGGAACCGGACAGUACGUGUUUGUCCCCCACUGUUUGACAGUUUAGCGUCUCGCAAACGCGGUAUGUUGUGUUCCCAGAAACCCCAACGUGUGUGUACUGUUUUGUUGAGGUUAAAGACUUUUUGAAGUAAAGAGGAGCAUCUCAUCUGAACCUGAUGUCUAUCAUGGAUAUUUAACUGCAGUUCUGUGAGUAUCCCAACUUAACCAUGAAGAUGAACUGCAAACUACCAUCGCUGGACUUCAGGAUCUUCCUCCGUUCAGCUCAAGGUGAGGCGCUGGUUCUGUUUUUUCUUUGGUUGGUUCCGGCCGGAAUGUUUGGAUUCCAGUCGGACGGUUUGUGCUUCCCGCCGUGGAAGAUUCUGAGUGUGGUCACUUAAUUUAGUCCCAAUGGUUAGCAUAGAACGUUGUAGUCUUGACAACCAUAAGAAACCACCUGGCAGUUAGUUGGACGGGAGUCCCCUUAGGGAAUCUGGCAGAACGUUCUGGAUUGUAUUCGCGUAACCUCGAGCUGUUGCCAACGGAAACUAUUUUUCAGUCGUUUCCAUUGGGAAUUGUGGCCCCUUAUCUUAAACAACUUAAGUUUGAUAUUAAAUACAUAUUGACGUGUACGUCGUACAAUAUGUUGAUCAUUUCCGAUGGAUGCGCCGUACUUUAACCACGCUGACGUGACGGGACUCGCUGUGUACAAAACGGCGUUCUACUUGCGCGCCCAUUUUUUACAUCGGUGACAGAUGAAAAUCAUUUUAAGGUGGCAUUUCAACGGAACCCAGCACCUGAAUAUGGCUGAGUAAGUAACUGGAUAAUAUAAAAGCUAAAAUAAUGUCCGUCCUUCCCAGAUGUUACAGUAGAAUAUGCUCUAGAACUGUAAAGGUUUAAAAUGUAACAUGUCGUUUGUCCCAAGGUGUCUGCCUCCUCACCCAGAGCAAGACCUCCACCUCCUCACCCAGAGCCAGACCUCCAACUCCCGUCAGAAGUCCUCCAGAACAGCUGAAAGGUGAGGCUGAGAGGCUGGGGACCGGAGGCUUGUGGUGCCAGGAUGGACCAGAGACUGAGGCUGGAGACCAGGGGCCUGCAGCACCGGACCAGAGGGUGAUUUACUGCUGAGACCAGUGUUUGUAACCAGACCAGGAAUCUAUGUCUGGGGGAGCCGUGCUGAAGGAGCUGAUGGAGGAGUCGUGCUGAAGGCCCUGCCUGGUGGAGGAGCUGGUGGAGGUCCUGCCUAGUGAAUGACGUCUGUCGUGGGACGACUACAUCUGUUUUAACACAGGUUGAAGCAAGACUUCCGCUGUUUGUUCCAGACCAGGAAUCUGUCUGAGGAGAGCUGCUGUAUUCCUCAACGUGUUUCUGGAGCGGAGGCGAGCUGGUAGGGGAGCCGUAAAUCUGGAGGAUGGCCAUCACUCUACCAACAAGGAUUACGUUAGGGCCAGACUCGCGCUGUUUGUUCCAGACCAGGACUCUGGCUGAGGUGAGCUGAUGGAGGAGCCAAGACUCUGGAGGACGACAUCACUCUACCAACCAGGAUCCUCCGACAAAUUACGUUUGUAACCAGACGAGGAAUCUGGAGGACUGAUGGAGAAGCCGUACAUCUGGAAGGCAAAUCCUGAGGACAACCAGGACUCUACCAUCAAGGAUUCCUCACACACCUGAGCUGAACCUCACAUGAUCCUGUUUGGUCGGGGGUAGACGCACCUGAGCUGAACCCGCCCUGAUCCUGACAUCCUGCUGGUCCCGUCUCCUCAGUUCAUCUGCGCCUCGUCCUCCAGAAGACCUGCUGAGCUCAGCAAUCUGAGGCUAAUGUAUCAAUGACCUCCAGUGGGAAUGAUCUUCUUGACCCCACAUAAUGGUGGUGACAUUUUGAAAAGUGCUGAAGGCCCUGCCUGUUGGAGGAGCUGGUGGAGGUCCUGCCUGGUGAAUGACGUCUGUCAUGGGGUUGAAGCAAGACUUGCGCUGUUUGUUCCAGACCAGGAAUCUGUCUGAGGAGAGCUGCUGUAGUCCUCAACGUGUUUCUGGAGCGGAGGCGAGCUGGUAGGGGAGCCGUGAAUCUGGAGGAUGACCAUCACUCUACCAACAAGGAUCCUCAGACAAACUACGUUUGUAACCAGACCAGGAAUCUGGAGGACUGAUGGAGAAGCCGUACAUCUGGAAGGCAAAUCCUGAGGACAACCAGGACUCUACCAUCAAGGAUUCCUCACACACCUGAGCUGAACCUCACCUGAUCCUGUUUGGUCGGGGGUAGACACACCUGAGCUGAACCCGCCCUGAUCCUGACAUCCUGCUGGUCCCGUCUCCUCAGUUCAUCUGCGCCUCGUCCUCCAGAAGACCUGCUGAGCUCAGCAAUCUGAGGCUGAUGUAUCAAUGACCUCCAGUGGGAAUGAUCUUCUUGACCCCACAUGUAACGUGUGCUUCCACACGCCUUUCCCUCAUGUCCGUCACUAACCUCACUACUUCACUACUCUCUACUGCUUCCUCUUCUUCCUUCUCUGUUGUUUGUACCUUUUACACAGAAGGCGCGUCUUCCUGCCCUCAGUGGGUUCAGCGUUAGGGUUGAGUCAGGGUUUAGAGUCAGGGACAGAGCUGGUCAGGGAGGACUGCUUUUACACAAACCUCUUCACUUCCUUUCGGAAUGGUGGUGACAUUUUGAAAAUUAAUUUGGGAAAAUGUUUUCCUCUGCUUUCCUUUACAAAAUGGUACAAAACUUCUGUCAAGUGUUUUUGUUUAUAUAUUAAAAUCCCACAUUGAC